rnacentral:rRNA from 1 species
CCUACGGGGGGCUGCAGUGGGGAAUUUUGCGCAAUGGGCGGAAGCCUGACGCAGCAACGCCGCGUGGAGGAUGAAGGCCUUCGGGUCGUAAACUCCUGUCAGUGGGGACGAAUGCCUCGCAAGAGGUUUGACUGUACCCGUUGAGGAAGCCACGGCUAACUCCGUGCCAGCAGCCGCGGUAAUACGGAGGUGGCAAGCGUUGUUCGGAAUUACUGGGCGUAAAGGGCGCGUAGGCGGCUAGGCAAGUCAGGUGUGAAAGCCCCGGGCUUAACUCGGGAAUUGCACCUGAAACUGCCUUGCUUGAGUCCUGGAGGGGGUAGCGGAAUUCCCAGUGUAGCGGUGAAAUGCGUAGAUAUUGGGAGGAACACCUGCGGCGAAGGCGGCUACCUGGACAGUGACUGACGCUGAGGCGCGAAAGCUAGGGUAGCGAACGGGAUUAGAUACCCCAGUAGUC